GACGAACGCUGGCGGCGUGCCUAAUACAUGCAAGUUGAGCGAUGAAGAUUGGUGCUUGCACCAAUUUGAAGAGCAGCGAACGGGUGAGUAACGCGUGGGGAAUCUGCCUUUGAGCGGGGGACAACAUUUGGAAACGAAUGCUAAUACCGCAUAACCACUUUAAACAUAAGUUUUAAGUUUGAAAGAUGCAAUUGCAUCACUCAAAGAUGAUCCCGCGUUGUAUUAGCUAGUUGGUGAGGUAAAGGCUCACCAAGGCGAUGAUACAUAGCCGACCUGAGAGGGUGAUCGGCCACAUUGGGACGGAGACACGGCCCAAACUCCUACGGGAGGCAGCAGUAGGGAAUCUUCGGCAAUGGACGAAAGACUGACCGAGCAACGCCGCGUGAGUGAAGAAGGUUGUCGGAUCGUAAAACUCGGUUGGUAGAGAAGAACGUUGGUGAGAGUGGAAAGCUCAUCAAGUGACGGUAACUACCCAGAAAGGGACGGCUAACUACGCG
rnacentral:rRNA from 1 species